rnacentral:lncRNA from 1 species
CGCAAUGUAAUCAGUAAUAGCCAAGAUCCCCUCUCUAAUUCUGCCCCUUCCUCGAAGUAGCCGCCCAAUAUGUUCACUCCUUGCCUCUAACACUUGAAAAUCACAAAGGCUCUGACUUUUCAAUUGUUGUAUCUCUUCUUCCAUUUGGGCCAUCAAUAGUGCUCCCUGUCAGCUUUGAAAUCCGUAGCCUGCUUAGCUGCCUCAUUUUCAAGAACAAUUACCUUUUUCUUUAGGCUAGUGAUCAUCCCCUUGUACUUUCUCUUCAAUCGCUGCACAAUUGAGUCCGAUCUUUGGCAUUUUAUAAUAAUUGAUCCCGGGCUUCUGACAGACUAAAUUUUUACUUGUCUAGGUCAUCUUGGCAUUCGAGGGAUUUCUUUCUCAGGCUGCUUAUCAGUCUUUCAUCCGCUCGAUUCCUUCAUGGGUUUUGGACAACUAUUUUCAACCUUGGAUCUGGUCCUUGGGAGCCUCAUUUUCUUGAGUCAGUAUGCUCUUUUCUCCUUCAUUGGCAGCAACUUGCACACCAUUUUCAAAUUGCAGGUCCCUAAC